rnacentral:rRNA from 1 species
AUUGAACGCUGGCGGCAUGCCUUACACAUGCAAGUCGAACGGUAACAGAUCUUCGGAUGCUGACGAGUGGCGAACGGGUGAGUAAUACAUCGGAACGUGCCCGAUCGUGGGGGAUAACGAAGCGAAAGCUUUGCUAAUACCGCAUACGAUUUACGGAUGAAAGCAGGGGACCGCAAGGCCUUGCGCGAACGGAGCGGCAGAUGGCAGAUUAGGUAGGUGGUGGGAUAAAAGCUUACCAAGCCGACGAUCUGUAGCUGGUCGGAGAGGACGAACAGCCACACUGGGACUGAGACACGGCCCAGACUCCUACGGGAGGCAGCAGUGGGGAAUUUUGGACAAUGGGCGAAAGCCUGAUCCAGCCAUGCCGCGUGCAGGAUGAGGGCCUUCGGGUUGUAAACUGCUUUUGUACGGAACGAAAAGACUCUGGUUAAUACCUGGGGUCCAUGACGGUACCGUAAGAAUAAGCACCGGCUAACUACGUGCCAGCAGCCGCCGUAA